rnacentral:lncRNA from 1 species
UAAUUUUAAUAUAAGGUUUAAUUAAUGCAUACCGCUUUUUAUAAAUAUAUCAAAUAACAAAUAUAUCACUACAAAAUUUAACUUUUAACUUUUAUCCCUACAAAAGUCUAAUAAUAUUCAUAUUUAUCCCUUUGAUUUGUUAUCAUUAGAGAGUUGUCUAUUUUUUAACAGCAAAUAAGUAAAUGUCAAUUUUGCCAUCACAAAAAUACCCGUCCAUAAGCCCCAACUGCUAUAAUUGUGCAGAAAUGUUCCCCCAAAAAAUUUUCAAUAUCUUCUUUUUUCAUCUUCUCCCUCUUUAAAACCUAGCCCAAUCCAUCAUUAUUGCAACAUCUUUUCUCACUGUUGAAAGCCUAAACCUUUUUUUUUAGCAAAAUAAGGAAAAAAAUAUAGAGAAAAUUGAAUGGAAAGCAAUACGCGUUCGACAUGAGUGAAGGAACACGCGUCGUGGAUAAAUGGAGACGGAGAAAUUCUAGCUACGAGUUUGAAACUAGCAUGAAAGAGAGAGAGGAAAAAAAAAGGAAGAAGAAGGAGAGUUCUCGUUGCUAAAAUUUUAAUUAACAGAAGAAGGUAUAAUAUCAGAGAGGUAAAAAUGUCGAUUCACCUUAUUAACUAACCAGGGUUAAUAUUUUAUCUAUGGUUAACAAAUAUUUCCAACGGAUCGUAACGGCAGAGGCAUAUUUGAUAACGUUAGUACUUUUAUAGGAAUAACAUAAGAAAUUUAAUUUUUAUAGAGAUAUAUUUACAAUUCGUUAUAUUUACAAGAAGCUGUAUAUAUGCAAUUAACUUUUAAUAUAAAUACAACUUGUUGACUGACGGAAUAUACUUAGACGGAGUCUUGCUGUCUCUACAAACAAUAAUGAAAGUGAUAACCCUGCAAUUCCAUCUAUCAGCCAACAUUUCUCGACCAGUCCUAUCGCACUCUGUUUUCUAAAAGAGAGAUAAUGUUGCGCCGAUCUAAUUAUAGUUUUAGUGGGUAGAAUUAUUACAUUUGGUAUUAGAAUUGAUUUGCCAGUCUCGCAUCAUGCAACUACGUUUGAUUUUGAUUUGGUAUCAGAGCUUAUUAAUUUGCUAACUGAAAGUGUGAAAUGAAUUUCAUAUCAUACAGUCACACGCUGAAAUAAAAAUAACAUUUUGUGAGGAUAUAUGGCAAUUUUUUAGUCAAUUACCGCUAGAGAGAUCAGAAUAAUAGAGUAGCCAUUUAAGAAAUACUGGCCAUUUAAAAAACUUCGAGUUAAGUUGACAGUUUGGUGUAUGCUGUUGAAGCAAAAGAAAUAAUGUAGGACGAAAUAUACUAUCUUAUAUUUUGGUGGAUUUUAAAUGAAAGGAGAUUUAAGAUUUUAAAGAAGAAAGUUAAAAUGUGCGUAAUUAUUGAAUGAAUAAAGAAAAGUGGUGGAAAAUAAAUAUGAUUUGUUGCAAAUAUUUAUGAUUUUAUUUUGAAAUUUUUUGAAUUUUUAGGAAUUUUCAGAGUUAAAAAAUUAGAAAUUAUGGUAAUUUCAAAAUAAAUUUAGGAUAAUAUCUAAUAUACCCUUCAAAAUCUUUAAAAUAUCUUACUUACACCAAAAUAACCAAAAUACCCUUAUUAAUUCUAAAUUUUUAAAAUAUCUUACUUACACCAAAAUAACCAAAAUACCCUUUUUAAUUCUAUUUUUUUUUUUUCGAAUAUUCUUCCUUCCUCUAGGAUUUACUAAUAGGAUUGAAUUUGGGAAGGAUAUUUUGAAAAUUAAGGAGGUAAAUUUGAAAAUUUUUAAU